UGUUGGAAAACCACUUCAUCCAUUGAAAGAAAGCAAGACGUUUUCCAAAAUAAAUGCCUGCAUCCUUAGGAUAUAUUCUGGCCAAACACAAUCUAUUGAUUGAUUGAUUGAAACUUUUAUUAGUAGAUUGCACAGUUCAGUACAUAUUCCGUACAAUUGACCACUAAAUGGUAACACCCGAAUUAGUUUUUCAACUUGUUUAAGUCGGAGUCCACGUUAAUCGAUUCAAUCUCAAUUGAAAAACUCUGUGAAAGAACAACCACAACAUCAAAUAAAAAGACCAUCCGAAUUUGACAUUGGAAAUGGCGUGUCCGUCAUCUUCUCUCGACAAAAGAUCCCUAUAUUGGACGCCUCGAGGGAGGAGAACUUGAGGUCGACCAAGACAAAACCUGAAGAAGAAUCGGGAGGUUUGGCAAGUAUGCUAAUAAGCAUGGCAGGGGAUUGGAUGAUCAGUCCCAGCUGGGUAAUCCAAUUACCUGCCAGCUGUGCUUCAAGGCCGGACCUUACACACCCCACGCCCUCCCCCCUCCCCCCGCCACAGGCCUCUUCUAUAUGGCUCCAGGUGUCAGAAAACCACUUCAUCCAUUGAAAGAAAGCAAGACGUUUUCCAAAAUAAAUGCCUGCAUCCUUAGGAUAUAUUCUGGCCAAACACAAUCUAUUGAUUGAUCGAAUGAAACUUUUAUUAGUAGAUUGCACAGUACAGUACAUAUUCCGUACAAUUGACCACUAAAUGGUAACACCCGAAUUAGUUUUUCAACUUGUUUAAGUCGGAGUCCACGUUAAUCGAUUCAAUCUCAAUUGAAAAACUCUGUGAAAGAACAACCACAACAUCAAAUAAAAAGACCAUCCGAAUUCGACAUUGGAAAUGGCUUGUCCGUCCUCUUCUCUCGAGAAAAGAUCCCUAUAUUGGACGCCUCGAGGGAGGAGAACUUGAGGUCGACCAAGACAAAACCUGAAGAAGAAUCGGGAGGUUUGGCAAGUAUGCUAAUAAGCAUGGCAGGGGAUUGGACGAUCAGUCCCAGCUGGGUAAUCCAAUCACCUGCGAACUGUGCUUCCAGGCCGGACCUUACACAGGCCCGCAGAACACGACCCCUCUCCAUAGUCCUCUAUUAUAUAGCUCAAAACCUGAAGAAGAAUCAUAGAAAAAGAGCUGAGGAGUUAGAGACUGUCCCUCGAGACUGAUCCCAGAAUAGUGGCUGACAGAGCCGGAUGGAAAUUCCUCGUUUUGUCUCAAGCGCCAAAAUACCCUGAAGAGGACUAAGUGAGUGAGUGAGUGGGUAUCGGUAUUCAUUCCCAGGUACCGGGAAUUGGUACUGGCUCUGCCUUCCCUGUCUGCACAUAACUGAGAGUUCUGCAUACCUUCUUAUACAAACAGUGCAGUUUACACAGGACUUACCUAUUGCAUAACACUGUUUAUUUUCCUUACCGUAUUUAUACCAAGCGAUUUGAAAUCCUGCAAAGGAAAGGGCAAGUUUAGGUUUGUCUUCAGGCAUUCUUCACCCCGUCCCACACUUUUAAAUUUUUCAGAAAACACACAUUAACCCUCACUGACUCACAGAGUGGGAACAGAGGUUCCGCCUCCUGGUGGCUUGUGGGCGUAGACGAGCUCUUAUGUGAAGACUUUCUCUCACAUUCCCAGAAAUCCCAAAGCCAUGCUCGGGGAUCAGACUUUCUUUUGGCGGGGUAUGCUGACGUUUCGGAGGGUCCUACUGUGGGUUUGCAUCUGCAUUGUGCUUCCGGGAGAGGAGCACGGAGCUCUGGUUGUUUCUCCCAGAGAUGCUCGAGUUGAGGACGCAAACGAAGAUGUGAGCACCAAGUCCGUAAAGAUGGUGGAAGUGCAGAGUUUUCGAGUUUCCUGCACGGUGACGUCGCGUUUCGCUCACACCGUCUUGGCCUCCAGGGCUCGGAACAAAGCCGACGUCUCGCAGGAGAUCUCCUUUGAAGUGGAGCUCCCAAAGACGGCCUUCAUCACCAACUUCACCAUAGAAACUGAAGGUCAGGUGUAUGUUGGCGAGGUGAAGGAGAAAGCCAAAGCCAAGAAAGAGUACGAGAAGGCGGUUUCUUCGGGAAAGACCGCUGGACUGGUCAAGGCAUCCGGAAGACAGAUGGAGAAGUUUUCCGUGUCGGUCAACGUUGCAGCACAAAGCAAUGUCACGUUUGUGUUGACCUACGAAGAACUCCUGCAGAGGAAACUGGGCCAGUAUGAGAUCCUGACCCGGGUGAAACCCAAACAGGUGGUCCAGGAGUUCCAGAUCACCGUAAGCAUUUUUGAGCCCCAGGGUAUCGCCUCGGUGGAGGCCUCAGGAACAUUCCUCACCAACCAGCUGCUCCCCCUGGUGGAGAGAACCGUCACUGACACCAAGGCUCACAUUACUUUCUCACCAACUCUGGAACAACAGAGGACAUGUCCAGUAUGUCAGGGCACGAGAAUAGACGGAGACUUUGUUGUCAAGUACGACAUCAAACGAGAAGAAACCCUGGGAGAAAUUCAGAUCGUAAACGGCUACUUUGUGCACUUCUUUGCUCCACCGGACUUACCCCGACUGCCAAAGAAUGUGAUUUUUGUGGUUGACAGGAGCGGCUCCAUGAGCGGAAAAAAGAUAAUACAAACCCGGGAAGCCUUGGCAGCCAUUCUAAAGGACCUCGACGAGGACGACCACUUUGCUGUCAUCCAGUUCGAUAGUGACAUUAUCACCUGGAAGGAGUCUGUCGUGAAAGCAACCAAAGAAAACGUGACGGAGGCCAUUGCCUACGUGGAGAAACUGAAAGACAGGGGAGCGACUAAUAUCAAUGACGCUCUAUUGAAAGCAGUGGCAAUGCUGAGGAAGGAAAGACAAAAUGAGAGACUUCCUGAGAGAAGUGUGGAUAUGAUUAUCCUCUUGACUGAUGGCAUGCCAAACCACGGCGUGUCCAACCUGCAGACCAUCCAGGAGAACGUGCGCUCGGCUAUUGAGGGGAAAAUGUCUCUGUUCUGUCUGGGAUUCGGAAACGAUGUGGACUACUCCUUUCUGGAUGUGAUGAGCAGAGAAAACAAAGGGUUGGCCCGCAGAAUCUUUGAGGCCUCGGAUGCAGCUCUACAACUCCAAGGUUUCUACGAUGAAGUGUCCAGCCCACUGCUUCUGGAAGUGAACCUGCGCUAUCCUGACAACACGGUAGAGUUCUUGACCAAAAACCACCACAGCCAUUUGUUCAACGGCUCAGAGAUCGUGGUGGCCGGUCGGUUAGAUGACAGCCGACGUCUUGAUAACUUCCUUGUGGAGGUGUUUGCUCAGGGGCCCAAGGCAGAUUUCCAGGUGCAUGGAAAGGCCAAAGUGGCAGACUGGAACGCGACCUAUCCAGAAGACAAGUACAUCUUUGGGGACUUCACAGAGCGUCUGUGGGCUUACCUCACCAUCCAGCAGCUACUGGAGAAGAGUCACAUUGGUAGUCAAGAGGAGAAGGACAGAAUCACAGCUGAGGCCCUGAACAUGUCGCUGCGCUACAACUUUGUUACCCCUCUCACCUCCUUGGUGGUCAUUAAGCCUGAAACUGAGGACGGACAAGACAGCCCGCUCAUCGCCGAUAAACUGACUGAAGAUCAGAGACAAAGAGCAGAGAGACAUCGUGGUUCCUCGGCCCACGCGGCACCUCCCCGCCGUCAAUUAGAUGUCGAUGGAGAUCCACAUUUCAUGAUAGAGCUCCCGGACAGAGAUGACGCCCUGUGCUUUAACAUCAAUGACAAACCAGGGACUAUUUUCAACCUUGUCAGAGACCCCAAAUCAGGCUUUGUGGUGAAUGGUGAAAUUAUUGCGAAGAAGAAAUUUGUCAAGGAUCAAAAGAUGAGCACUUACUUUGGUCGUCUUGGUAUCAGCCACAAGACUCUGGGGCUGAAGCUGGAGGUGAACACACGGGACAUCUCCUUGUUCUACGGGGGCAAACAGGUUCAGCUCCGGUGGUCGGAUUCGACCUCUCUCAAAGACACAAGGUCAGUUCUACCAUGGUGUUGAGUUUGAAGUGACAGACCCGCAACUGAAAAGAGAUGCCACCAUGUACGUGAAGGGACAGACGCUUAAUGUGACCAGACACCAGCAGAAGGACUUCAGCAGGGAUGUGAUAAGCGGGGAAAGUAUUUCUUGCUGGUUUGUAGACAAUGAUGGAGCUGGACUCAUCGAUGGGAAAGCCUCUGAUUACAUUAUGCCGGACCUUUUUUAAAAUCACACGCAUCUUUUUUUCAGUAAAUAAAUGUUUGUCAUUUUG